GAUGAACGCUGGCGGCGUGCCUAAUACAUGCAAGUCGAGCGAACGGACGAGAAUCUUGCUUCUCUGAUGUUAGCGGCGGACGGGUGAGUAACACGUGGAUAACCUACCUAUAAGACUGGGAUAACUUCGGGAAACCGGAGCUAAUACCGGAUAAUAUUUUGAACCGCAUGGUUCAAAAGUGAAAGACGGUCUUGCUGUAACUUAUAGAUGGAUCCGCGCUGCAUUAGCUAGUUGGUAAGGUAACGGCUUACCAAGGCAACGAUGCAUAGCCGACCUGAGAGGGUGAUCGGCCACACUGGAACUGAGACACGGUCCAGACUCCUACGGGAGGCAGCAGUAGGGAAUCUUCCGCAAUGGGCGAAAGCCUGACGGAGCAACGCCGCGUGAGUGAUGAAGGUCUUCGGAUCGUAAAACUCUGUUAUUAGGGAAGAACAUAUGUGUAAGUAACUGUGCACAUCUUGACGGUACCUAAUCAGAAAGCCACGGCUAACUACGUG
rnacentral:rRNA from 1 species